rnacentral:rRNA from 1 species
AACGAACGCUGGCGGCAUGCCUAACACAUGCAAGUCGAACGGGACCUUCGGGUCUAGUGGCGCACGGGUGCGUAACGCGUGGGAACCUGCCCUUAGGUUCGGAAUAACUCCCCGAAAGGGGUGCUAAUACCGGAUAAUGUCUUCGGACCAAAGAUUUAUCGCCUUUGGAUGGGCCUGCGUUGGAUUAGCUAGUUGGUAGGGUAAAAGCCUACCAAGGCGACGAUCCAUAGCUGGUUUGAGAGGAUGAUCAGCCACACUGGGACUGAGACACGGCCCAGACUCCUACGGGAGGCAGCAGUGGGGAAUAUUGGACAAUGGGCGAAAGCCUGAUCCAGCAAUGCCGCGUGAGUGAUGAAGGCCUUAGGGUUGUAAAGCUCUUUUACCCGGGAUGAUAAUGACAGUACCGGGAGAAUAAGCUCCGGCUAACUCCGUG